GACGAACGCUGGCGGCGUGCUUAACACAUGCAAGUCGAACGGAAAGGCCCUGCUUUUGUGGGGUGCUCGAGUGGCGAACGGGUGAGUAACACGUGAGUAACCUGCCCUUGACUUUGGGAUAACUUCAGGAAACUGGGGCUAAUACCGGAUAUGAGCUCCUGCUGCAUGGUGGGGGUUGGAAAGUUUCGGCGGUUGGGGAUGGACUCGCGGCUUAUCAGCUUGUUGGUGGGGUAGUGGCUUACCAAGGCUUUGACGGGUAGCCGGCCUGAGAGGGUGACCGGCCACAUUGGGGCUGAGAUACGGCCCAGACUCCUACGGGAGGCAGCAGUGGGGAAUAUUGCACAAUGGGCGGAAGCCUGAUGCAGCAACGCCGCGUGCGGGAUAACGGCCUUCGGGUUGUAAACCGCUUUCGCCUGUGACGAAGCGUGAGUGACGGUAAUGGGUAAAGAAGCACCGGCUAACUACGUG
rnacentral:rRNA from 1 species